CUGCCAGUUAUGAAGCAGGAGGGAGUUCAAUGCCAGGGGCAGGAUGUGGGCAAGGGAUCUGUAGCGAGAUAGAAGGGAUCGAGGUACAGUGAGUAAGUUGGGUUAGAGGAGCAAAGUUUGCGGGCAGGUUGUAGGAAAUCAGAGAGGUAUGGUAGGCGGGGGAAAGGUGACUGAGUGCUUUAAAGCCGAUGAUAAGGCAUUUCUGUUGGAUGCGGGGGUGAGUGGGCAACCACUGGAGGUUCUUGAGAAGUGCAGAGAUGUAGAUUACACUUAGACGUAGACUACAUGUGUUUUUAGAAAAUGAUCUGGACAGCAGAAUGAAGUAAGUUUGGGGUGGGGAGAGACAGGAAGCAAGGUUUACCUAGGGCCCGUCCCCAUCUCUGGCCACCCCCUCCUUUCCCGGGGCUGAUGAUCGCAAUGUCCGCAGGAAAGGGGACCCUCCCGUCGUCGCCCCUGCAGUGCAACGUGUCCACGUGGGAGCCGGCCGGGCCCGGGGGCCCGCAGGGGGGCGCUGCAGAGUGCACAGGAGACCAAGCGAGCACGGUGACUGUCAGCACAAGGAGGACGUGGCGGUGAAGUGCUCCGGUAUAAGAAGGACCAUGUCUACACUGCCACCUAUCCCAGGAGCCACAGAAACCAGAGACACAAAACUCUCUGCCCCAGGUAACUGUCCCCACCGCGGGCUAAGGUCCAGGGACUUCCUGUCCUGACAUCAACUGUCCUAGUCACUGAGUCCUCCGGGGUCAUAUACUGUGCUUAGCGUUUGGGGUCUUGGGAGCUCUGCAUUCUAAUGGGGCCAUUCCAGGUGGUGGUUGGCAUUUGUGCCUCCGGCCUGUGUUGAGAUCCGUCUGCCUACCUGAGCGCCAGAAGUCCCCUGAACUGUCUGCUGGCCUGGGCCCAGGGCUCUCGGUCUCCAGUGGAAGGUUAAUCUUCCACUGCUGAUCUUGUAGGAGAGGUGGGGGCAGAUGCUGGGAGGAUGAGGCUGAUGUCUGACCCCCACAUCUCAGCUCUGGGAGCCGGGUCAUGGGAUAUGCAGGGUUGGGGGGAACAGAUUCAAAUGCUGUGAGAAUUGGAGGAAGGGGAGAUCACAUAAACUGAGGGUUGUGGGGUUCCUCUCCACCGAAGGGUCAUGGUCCCCAGGGCCCUGCAGAGAUGAGGAAGGCACUGGGCUUGGAAG
rnacentral:lncRNA from 1 species